UACGACUGAUACGAAUCAUGAUAAUGUACCAUAAUAAAGAAAAGUUAAAAUAGUUAAAACUUAAAAGUGUAAUACCUAAGCGGCUAAACAGUAAACAUUAAUAAUUACACCUACAAAAGGUAACAACAGCUUACAAAAGUACAAUUAAUAUCCAUCAUUUAACGACUACAUUACGGUAUACAAUAUACAACUGUUCUAUCGUUGUUUCAAGCGUUUGGACAUUUUUGUGUUGAGACUUCAAUACUUGAAUAUUGAAUGUGUUUGUUACUUGAUCCAAGUAACGUUCGUCUCAGGUAUUAACAUUUUACAGUUAAUAUGUUAAGUAAUCAUGAAAAGAUUCAAUUGCUACCUAAAGAAGUAGGUACCAACUGCUUUGAAUCAACUGAUAUUAAUCUUGAUGAGAUACUUCUUUGUUAAAUUUGGAUGAAGCUUUGUAAAGAACUUCAGAAAGGACCAACCGAUUCAAAUACACCAUCAAAAUUCAAUCUAUUGGCUGUCAGUUUUAUUGAAUACUAUUAGCAUAUCUUUGGACAUGAGUUCAAGAAGUGGUAUUUGAAAAUUAUUGGUGGAUUAAGUAUUUAAAUCUAUGGAUGAAUUAGAAAAAAAACUACAGCUUCCUUGAUAUAAAAUGGUUUUACUAUUAUGGUAACUGUGAUAAAAAUUGGAAAAUUUAAUCGAGGUAUGAUGUUUGUGCUUUAAUUAUUCUAGUAGUAAUAUAUCUGAUCAAUGCAAGUAAUUUAUCAAUGUUUUUUUUUAAUUUUUACAGUGCACAUCAAAUUUUAAGUAAUCAUAUUAGUAUUUUCAUCGAUUAUUCCAAAUUACUUGUUUAACUAGUUAGGAGUUGUGAUAAAAACUACCGCAGAAAAAUAUUAUUGAAUUUAAAUUUUCUUUGUUAACUAUACUGUAUAAAACAUAUGAUCAUACACUUACCACAUGAGUGAUUAUUUUGUACUGUUGAAAAAAGAGAUACUGAUGAAUUGCACAAUAUUAUGAAAAACUAAUGUUAUAUAAAUAAUAAAUUAAAAUAAUUAUUGCUUAUAAACUAAAAUAUUAAAAGAAUAUUUUAAAUAAUUUUAGAUUUUCAAUGUUUAUUAAUACAUUCUGAUUAAUUAUAAUUAUAAAAAUAAUUGCCAGUGGCGAAUUAUCCAGGCAUGCGCCAUAUGCUUAGAAAUAAAAACGUUAUUAAUUCAAAUAAAAAAAAUAAUUUUAUUAUCAAUAAUUUCUUAUAUAUAAUAAAAAUAUCAUGUGUUACAUUAAUUUAUUUAUUUUUGUUAU